CCGGCGCACGGGUGAGUAACGCGUAUCCAACCUGCCCACCACUUGGGGAUAACCUUGCGAAAGUAAGACUAAUACCCAAUGACGUCUCUAGAAGACAUCUGAAGGAGAUUAAAGAUUUAUCGGUGAUGGAUGGGGAUGCGUCUGAUUAGCUUGUUGGCGGGGUAACGGCCCACCAAGGCUACGAUCAGUAGGGGUUCUGAGAGGAAGGUCCCCCACAUUGGAACUGAGACACGGUCCAAACUCCUACGGGAGGCAGCAGUGAGGAAUAUUGGUCAAUGGACGAGAGUCUGAACCAGCCAAGUAGCGUGCAGGAUGACGGCCCUAUGGGUUGUAAACUGCUUUUAUAAGGGAAUAAAGUGAGUCUCGUGAGGCUUUUUGCAUGUACCUUAUGAAUAAGGACCGGCUAAUUCCGUGCCAGCAGCCGCGGUAAUACGGAAGGUCCGGGCGUUAUCCGGAUUUAUUGGGUUUAAAGGGAGCGUAGGCCGGAGAUUAAGCGUGUUGUGAAAUGUAGACGCUCAACGUCUGCACUGCAGCGCGAACUGGUUUCCUUGAGUACGCACAAAGUGGGCGGAAUUCGUGGUGUAGCGGUGAAAUGCUUAGAUAUCACGAAGAACUCCGAUUGCGAAGGCAGCUCACUGGAGCGCAACUGACGCUGAAGCUCGAAAGUGCGGGUAUCGAACAGGAUUAGAUACCCUGGUAGUCCGCACGGUAAACGAUGGAUGCCCGCUGUUGGUCUGAAUAGGUCAGCGGCC
rnacentral:rRNA from 1 species